AUAUCAUGAUGUGGACAUUUUUGCAGUAGCUCGUUGUACCUCUCCCAUGCUUCAUACAAAGUGUCUUAAUCUUGUUGCAUGAAUGAGUUAGUGUCAUUCCUCAUCUU